UACGUAGGUGGCGAGCGUUGUCCGGAAUCAUUGGGCGUAAAGCGCGCGUAGGCGGCUUGUCAGGUCUGAUGUGAAAUCUCGGGGCUCAACCCCAAGCGUGCAUCGGAAACCGGCUUGCUAGAGUCUGGGAGAGGGUAGUGGAAUUCCGCAUGUAGCGGUGAAAUCCGUAGAUAUCAGGAGGAACACCGGUGGCGAAGGCGGCUGCCUGGACCGAUAUUGACGCUGAGACGCGAAAGCGUGGGUAGCAAAC
rnacentral:rRNA from 1 species